CCUACGGGUGGCAGCAGUGAGGAAUAUUGGUCAAUGGACGAGAGUCUGAACCAGCCAAGUAGCGUGAAGGAUGACUGCCCUAUGGGUUGUAAACUUCUUUUAUAUGGGAAUAAAACGUUCCACGUGUGGGAUUUUGUAUGUACCAUAUGAAUAAGGAUCGGCUAACUCCGUGCCAGCAGCCGCGGUGAUACGGAGGAUCCGAGCGUUAUCCGGAUUUAUUGGGUUUAAAGGGAGCGUAGGUGGAUUGUUAAGUCAGUUGUGAAAGUUUGCGGCUCAACCGUAAAAUUGCAGUUGAAACUGGCAGUCUUGAGUACAGUAGAGGUGGGCGGAAUUCGUGGUGUAGCGGUGAAAUGCUUAGAUAUCACGAAGAACUCCGAUUGCGAAGGCAGUUCACUGGACUGCAACUGACACUGAGGCUCGAAAGUGUGGGUAUCAAACAGGAUUAGAUACCCCAGUAGUC
rnacentral:rRNA from 1 species